GCGAAUUUUGGUGACCCAAUUUUGUAUGUUUGUGAAUGUUUAAGUCCAGUAACAGCUCGAACCCUGUCCUGGAGUUGGAUAUGGGGGAGGGGUGUUACAAUCUCGUCCAUUAAUUAGGUUAAUAUAGAACCGAGGUGACUUAUUACACACAUUGCAACUAAAUCCAUCCUUUAGCACGUAUAUUAACACAACCAAAUGACUAUAUCAAGUAUGGAUGCAUAACAUGGAAAUUACAUGCAAUGUGAUCUAAACAUGUCUAUUUCCA
rnacentral:lncRNA from 1 species